GGAAGGUUAGUUUAUCUGGUGAUGACCACUGACUUCAAAUCAGAUGAAAGGAUAGUUGACUAUUCUUUGGGGAGUUCGAUUCUCUCACCUUCUC
rnacentral:tRNA from 1 species